CACCGCGGUUAUACGGGAGACCCAAGCUGACAGUCACCGGCGUAAAGAGUGGUUAAUUACACCUAAAAACUAAAGCCAAACGUCUCCAAAGUUGUUUAACGCAUUCGGAGAUAUGAAGCUCAACUACGAAAGUGGCUUUACACUCUUUGAACCCACGAAAGCUAGGGAA
rnacentral:rRNA from 1 species